rnacentral:lncRNA from 1 species
AGUUGAGAAGCAAUGCUGUUUCACCUCCCUGAGAGAAUUGCCUUGUUUGUGAAAUACUACAGAAAAACCUGUAUUUUCUCCAGAAAAUGAAAGGUCUUGGCCUGAGUAAAUCAAGGCAGAAAACUCACCCCCGUGAAAGCUGCAGCUCUGAGAGUGUGUGGGCAGGGCUUCAACAGAAUACCUGUGGCUGCACUUACAAAAGGCAGCCAGAAGGACCCGUCCAUUCUGGAAAGUACCUUUAGUCUGAAAGCAUUUAUUGCAGAAAAAAUAUGAGGCUUGCUGGUAGUAUUCCCAGGUGACAAAUGUGCACCCAACACCCUACAGAAAAGAAGAACCAUAAAAUAAUUAAUUAUUCCAUUGUAACUCCUGCCUGGAAAACAUCUGAAGUCACUAGAUUCAGCCCACAUUCAAGAUGAGAAAUACCAGAAGGCAGAGAACACUGAGGCUGUUUUAGAGGCUGUCAACCCCAGGGAGACAGACAGCAAAUAAGAUGCUUGGAUGUUUUCACACCACUCUGACACAUGGAUGGAAGGUUAGAAGACAACAAAGGAAUGGGCUGGGAAGGACUCCAAAAGCAGAAUCAGAGAUUAUAUCAUUCCUUGGAAAUGGAGAAAAGGAUCAAAAAAGCUGAAUAAAAGGUAGUCCCAGCAACAA